rnacentral:tRNA from 2 species
GGCCCCAUCGUCUAGUGGCCUAGGACGUAGCCCUCUCAAGGCUAAAACCGGGGUUCGACUCCCCGUGGGGUCA